rnacentral:lncRNA from 1 species
UGAUCGGUGGAAGCUUGAUUUGGCCAUGGUUACAGCAAAGGGUGAAAGUUGGUUCACCUGUUCGUGGGUCUGUAGCAGGGCUUUCAGAAGUCCACAUUAAUGCACCACAUUUUGAGCAUGGUACGAUUCGGUUUUCAUCUAGUCGGGAUGUUGAACCUUUUUCUGGAAAAUGUUUAUUACGAAUUGUUAAAUCAUAGUUUAUUGAAAUCUUAAGAGUUUAACAGAGGGUUAGGAAUUAUUAUUUUUUAUAUUU